rnacentral:rRNA from 1 species
AGCGAACGCUGGCGGCAGGCCUAACACAUGCAAGUCGAACGAACUCUUCGGAGUUAGUGGUGGACGGGUGAGUAACACGUGGGAACGUGCCUUUUGGUUCGGAAUAACUCAGGGAAACUUGUGCUAAUACCGAAUGUGCCCUUCGGGGGAAAGAUUUUUUGCCAUUAGAGCGGCCCGCGUCUGAUUAGCUAGUUGGUGAGGUAACGGCUCACCAAGGCGACGAUCAGUAGCUGGUUUGAGAGGAUGACCAGCCACACUGGGACUGAGACACGGCCCAGACUCCUACGGGAGGCAGCAGUGGGGAAUCUUGCGCAAUGGGCGAAAGCCUGACGCAGCCAUGCCGCGUGAAUGAUGAAGGUCUUAGGAUUGUAAAAUUCUUUCACCGGGGACGAUAAUGACGGUACCCGGAGAAGAAGCCCCGGCUAACUUCGUG